CACCAACUGAUUUAGAAGGAUCUCCAAUAGAAGGAUGUGCAUCAAACUGUGCAGGCUUCAUAGCCUCAUCAAGUUGAUUCUGUGUCAGGGCCAUAACCUGUUGAUUAAUCCGGGAAUUACCCCAAGAGCCCAAAGAUGUUUGGGCAUUAUCCAGAACCUUAUUCUUGUUCUCAAACAUUAAGCCUGUUGUAAGGUUCUUAACACUACCAGAUACAGCAGGUAAGGCGCUUGUUUCGAAGGACUUCAUUGUUUGGGAUCUUAUAUCAGCCUGGGGAUCAGUUUUCACAGCAGGAAAUCCAACUGGCAGCAAUGAUUGGGACACUAUAGGGGCACUAUAUCCUGCAGACACUUCAACAUUUUCCAAGCCAUGUCCAUUGGUGCCAACAUAAUCAGAGUGUAUAUUGUUGGCUUCUGCACCAACUGCUAAAGAAAUUUUGUUUGAUGUAACAGAUGCAACAGUACUUUGUGAGCUGGAACAAAGUUUUCGUGGCGUCUUUGAGACCUGAUACUUUGCUUUGAUUUCUUUCUCUCUCUGUUCACGGCGAUCAUUCAACAUUUGCCUCUUUGACCUCACCUCAAUAAAAUCAUCAUCAUCACUAGGAGCUUCUAUACCAGGUUGCUCAAAAACACGCACAAUUCCACUUUGCAAUGGUGCAUCAACAUUCUCUCCAGGAUGUGAAAUGCUCUGAUUCUUUUUCAGAAAUUCUUUUCCAGUUCCCUUUUCAGCCUUACUUUGUGAAUCUCCCUCCUGAGACCCAGCCGCCUGUGUAUUCAAGCCUUCUGAUUCAAAUGGCCGUUUUGGUUGUCUAUUAGGCACAACCACCCUCCUUGAGAUACUUUUUCCUCCAGCACCCCUAACACUGCUAUUAGACUUGUCAUCAACCCCAUAUGGGAUAGAUGAAACAAGCCGAGCAGAUUGCCUCUUAUCAGCACUUUCCCGAACCCGAAAUUCAGUUCGCUGGCGUCGAGGUCUUUGAAAUCCACUAGAUUCUUGGCGAGAAUUUUCAGAAGCCUGUAAUGAUGUUUUUGAGCCAUAAUUUUUCACUGCAAACACAUAUCUCUUCCCUCUCCCUCCUGAUGUUAGACCCCGAACUUUUGAGGUACCUAUAGCUUUUUCUUUAGAAACCGACUGCAAUGAUGCUGCUACAGUUUGAGGCUGGCUCUCCAAUUCUUUAGUGGAAAAGGCUUUAACAUUUUUCACAAAUGCAUCUUCCACUUGAAAUCCUGAUUCAGGCCCAGAAUUGCAAUCAUUUACAUGAGAAAACUCUCCUUGCCCCUGCAGCAUUUUUAGAGUGCUACCAGAAAUUUCUCUUGGUGACAAAGAAUUUUCCUCUUUUGAAGCUAGACCAUGAGAUACAUCUAAGUUCCGAGGAAGAAGACCUGGUUGAUUAUCCAUUGAAACAGACAAAAGGUCACUUUUCAUAAGAUUAUGAGCAGAAGUUUCUUGGCCAGGUUGAACAGGCAGAGGACCUCUGGCAUUCUGAUUCAAAGGAAAAUUAGUUGGAACACUCGGCUGAACAAAGGACAUUGAUUGCGGAGCCAAUGGCAAUAU
rnacentral:misc_RNA from 1 species